ACAUGCUUUUUGAAAAUACAUUUAUUUGUUAUCCAUCUUUACAUUCAAUUUCUCCCUGGCAGCCUUGAGUACUUACUUGUUCAUAGGAUACGGUGCAACAAAUGUGUAUACUGACAUGAAGCUUAGUGGAUUUGCGGCAUAGUGUGGUUGAAUAAUACCUUGGGGAAAGUUCUGUCACCACUUUUUCCAAUCCUUUUAGUUUUGUUUUCCAGAAAAACAGCCAUGUUAUGUAUAUAGCAGCACUGUGUAGCCAUGAUCAGUGAUUUGCCACUGAAGUAACAUCCCUUUUCUGUUAAGGCUACAGCCUAGCCGUGUGAGGCAUCAUAAUUUGCAAAUAAUACUAUGCAGGAGUAAAUCAGAAACAGCUGUUCACAAGUGACCUUCAGGGGACAGAACUAGAGAGGCUUCCUUACCUCCUCUGCCCUGAAAUACCACCUUGUUUUCUUACACUGAAAGUCCUGUUAAAAACUGAAGAGUCUGUCAACUGAUGAAUACCGUUAGAGCUGAGGGGAGAGAAAAUGGAAUCAGAAUGCUCACCAUUAUGAAAAAUAGCUCUGCACAAGCAGUGCAUAUGCAUAAUUUGAGCCUUUAUUAACAAAAGAAGCAAAAUGGAACUUUGAGUAGUAUUAUCAUGGUGUUAAAAUGCGAAAUCCCUUUCUGAAAGACCAGUUCGUGUUCUGCAUUUAAAAAAGCAUUCCUUUAACAAUAGUGGCUCCUGAAUAUUUCUUUUACUGACAUGUCCAUAUUCAGUUUUAUGCAGCUGUUAUUGUAAACCUUUGAAAAUGAAUGGAGUCCUCUUGCAAGGUAGUUGCAUGCGCUUUGCAGUAUACAGAAAUAUGUCUGUACGUGAUCUAAAGAACCUCUGAAUGCAAUGUACUAACUUUGUGGUAUGAACAAGAUUACUCUUCAUAUAUUCACAGUGUAAAAUUUUCAAAGAGUACUAAAAUACCAGAGUAUUGGUGAGCUGAGAACUACUGUGUCCUGUUUUAAAACAAUUUCAUGAUUUGAAAAUCUUUCAGUUUUGUUUGUUAGACAGCUCUUAUUACCCUCCCUUAAGCUACAUAAUAGGAAGGCUAGAGGAGUAGAUAUUUGAUUCUUCCUUGGAUUUCGGGUAUUUUCUGAGAAAUGUGGUGCUUAGAAAAUAUACAAUAAGGAACUACUUGGACAAAUUUAGGGUUCAUAUUCAAACAUAUCCCCCAUGUGACUGCUUCUUGUUAGUGCAGCAUUACACUUUUUAAAGGGCUUUGAAGUAGGACCUUUGAAAGUUGCGGGCCGGCCGGGGGGCCCCCCCCCCUAACAAAAUUUUUAAAAUGGGGGGGAAAAAGGGUAAAUAAGUGUGUAUGUACUUUGCAUCUUAUUUUACUAAUCCUAUGCUGCCUCAACAGCUCUUACAACAAACAUCUGACUAUUAAUCCUUAAUCAGUGUAAUCCCUUCAAGAGGGCUGUAUCUCAAACGUAGUUUCCUAAAUAUCAAUUAUAUGGAUUUAAACUAAAUACAUUAAACUGCUUGGGUGAUUAAUUAUUAAUUGUUUUUUUAAAAGUUCUACCAGCACUUCUUCACAGAUCCCACCAAGACCAGUGAACCACACGUUCAUUCAGAGGCAGUCAAUGUAUUAUUUAGUCAGUGUGCUACUCAUCUUCUGACAUCUAAUGAUUUUUGUCAUUGCUUAGUGAAAGCUGUGGCGAUUUUAGCAGGUUGAGCUGCUGUUCUGUAGAAUAGGGCUGCGUGUUUCAACACACAUUACCAGAGUAGUAAAAUCUGGAAAACUUAAAUCUCUGGAGAAACCGUAGAUCAGAGAAUACCAACCUACAGUAACCUAUUUAAAAAUAGAAGAUGUGAAAAAAGAAACAGGAGAAAGAAAACGAAAAGGUGACCUUGUCCAUAGCUACAUCAAACAUCUGGUAAUACUGUUGACAGACAAAUAAUACAGUGAGUCCAAGUCACUAGCCAGAAAGGUCUAAGUAGCUCAAUUUAAAAAAAAAAAAAAAAAAAAGAAAAAAAAAAGCACUGCUCUUUUCAGAUUUGCAAGCAAUUGUCUUCGAAAGUCAGAAUGCUUGUGCAUAUCGAUGCAUCAGGAUGAACUAAUAAGCUCCUCAUACUGCAUGGCUAACAUGUAAAACAUUCUGGCCCAAAUACCCUUAGUCGCGUCCUUGCUUCCUAGUGGAGUGGCAGAUAAUUACAGGGUGCUGCCAUGAAGGAAUUCUUUCCACAACAUUUUUACUUCUCUUGAAGAUAAGCAUGAAUUGUCUCCGGUGCUGUCACACAACCUUUUGAUCAAUAUUUGCAAUUGGCAGGGAUCCAUGUGAGUGAAAGCUGCAGUGACUAUGACUGCCUUCACUGGAGAGAAAGACUGUGACUGACUUUGUGCUGGGACAUAUAAAGGAACCAAAGGGAAAUCAGAGGAAGUAGCAUGUGUAGGUUGAGCCUAGUGCCUGUGCUGGUCUGUAUCCAUAAGUUAAUAAUUUUCAUUCUCCUUUGCUCUGAAUUAUAUGAUAGUGGCUGUUGUAAGUGUUCAUGUGUGUAGGAAUUGAGGGUGCUCCACUCAGAAAAGACUUAGCUUCUUACUGUACAACUGCACAUCCUACUUGCUGCAAUCUGGUGCAUUCCAGAGGCAGGAUAAAGUAUCCUCAUGAACCAGAGAUAAAAAGCCCACCUCUAGUAGGCUUGAUUUGGCAAUAUCCCAGCAUGAGAACAAAGUUGUUUAGAAGCAAAAGAAAAUUCCUGCUCUAAGCCCCUCCUUCUCAUUCCUUUUUCAGUUAAGUGAUGCAUAAUCUGAUUCAUGUACAUGCAUUCCAUGCUUCACUGCUAGCACUGAGCCUCUCUCUGUAUAUUUAAUUUACACACAUGCAUACGGUAUCCAUCCAUUCUGUGUUUAUCUACCCAUCUAUUUAUUUAGCUGUAUGAUAUCUUCACAGAGAACAAAUGCAAGCACAGAGGAAAAUUCCAGUGUAUUUAAAGGCGAAUUAAAGUUUAUCAGUUGGCUUUGACAGGAUUUAUUAUAUUUCUUAAAAUACAAAGCCUUUUGCCAACAGAAAAAAAGAAGGAAAAAAAAAAAAAAAAGGAAGAAAGUUAAAUUGAGCUGUAAAUGUAUAAAAUGAAGUAAAAUAUGGAUAUUUUAUCUUUUCUUCAAAAAUGCUCGCAUAGAGAGUGAGCUGCCUUUUUUAAAAAAUAUUAAUAUAGCAACUAAAACGUAUAAAUCCAUUGCUAGAAACAUCUUUCAUGUUUUUAUUGUAACCUUCAAUGAAGGAUGUUAGUAUUAAUGUUGAAUUAUGCAUACAGUUCUGUAGAUCAUAUUCCCUAGAAAUAACCCGCGUAUGUCUGUCUGCUCUGCACUUGUAGUGCACUAUACUAACACUGCUCUAGCCUCUGCAGUGUCAGCUCAUUAGCACACAGAUCUCAUAUUCCCUCUCUGCACUGUCAUUGCAAAAAAUUGCUGUUGUACACCUUUACAGCCAACAAAUGUGUUUGUGCAUUACAUACAAUUUUCAAGAAAUAUUUAGAAAAGCAAAGUCAACGUUAUACAUAGUCCCCAUAGAAUUUCUCAAAAUAAAGCAUUAGUUUUCAUAAAAAUCUGUUGAUCAUGUAAUGAUAGUGAUGGGAUGUGUACGGGAGAAAGGGAGGUUGAUUGCAGAAUCUAAUUAAUCUACAGACAGAUUCCCACUCUUAGCUAAACCUAGCCUACUGACUACAAAUUCUUGUUCCAUUAUUUUUUUCUAAGUCAUUUCUCAUAUAUCUUUUGAACCUGGAAGGCUCUUUUUAUAUUUUACCAAAUUUUGAUAUAAUGUUUUUUCCCUAGGCACUCAUUCCCGAAGGAAAAAAAAAAAAAAAAAAAAAAAAAAAGGAAAAUGUAAUUACAUGCUUACUUUAAGUUGCUAAAAUCCUUUAACAGAUUGUAUGGGAGUCACAUUUCUGACUUUCUUUGAAAAUAUUUCUUUAGCAUCCUGCAGUCCUUUAUUUAACGUUGAAAAUUCAGGAAGAUUUUAAUUGAAGAAAGGCCUGUUUGUUAUUGUGAGAAUGUUACAGAAAAUGAUACCACAGGGCUAGUAGCAGACAAUUUUUUCAGUUUAACUGUAUUUAUUCCUUUUUCCAAAGCACAAUUUCAUAUAUAUAUAAAUAUAUAUGCUCACAUGCAUACUCAACAUGUGUAUACAUACACACAGUGUUUCCUUAGGUGCUGCUCACCAUUUCUUUUUGCCAGUGGGCAGAUAAUUUGCUUCCCUUGCUUCUGUGUGCUCUUUGCCCAGCUGGCAAAGGAUACUGAUGCUGAAAGUGGUCAGUUCCCUUCUGCCAAAAGCAUAAGUGUGUCUCUGACAGUCUUGCCAAGUUUGGGCCAUGUACCAGUGGUUUUGCUGAAGUAGAAACCGCAGGGUAGGUGCCCAACUCUCCCAGUACAGAUUGCACUGUGGUUUCUCCCAGUAUUCCAUAGUAAAAUACCUACAACUGAGCUUUCCACACUGUUCCGUUAAUUACAGAUCCCCAAAAAUGCCUUUUAUGCUGUGGAAUUUGUUAAAUAUUGUAUGUUACUGCUGUAUGGCAUAGCAAAUUAGCUGGCUUUAGCUUAGGAUUCAAAGCUUUUGUAACAUUGGGAUAGAUGAAAAGGUGAAGAAAAGUGUUCCAACUAAAGUUUGUGUCCAGUUCAUGGCAGAGUAGGUGAUUUGUCAUUAGAGCGAAUGUGAUCUCAGUGUUAGCAGAAGGAACUAUAUUGUUUCAAAUUAGCUUUUGUUAUAUCUUAAUUUUAAAAUAAGUUGGCUUCCCUUUCUCUUCACUUCCACUACAUACAAAAGCAUUUACAUGUUGUUUAGCUGUUAGAAUUAAAUUUAACUCGCACUGUAGAGAAAGUAGAAAAUCCCAUAUGAAUGGACACUUUAUUGAAGAAGCUCUGUGAAUUCACCACAUGGAUGAAGAGUAAAGCAUGAUGAAGAGACCCAUUUACUUGUUCAGUUACAGAAAGAUUUUGUGCAGAUGCACAGAUCAAUUUGCUCACUUUUCCUAUAUAGCAUUGCGUUUGGAUGACUAUUGACAUGGGUUGGAGAGCUACUGAUUAACUCCAAAUCCAACUAAAGUGUGCCACAGCUAUAGUUUAUCUCUAGGAGGAAAUGGAGAUGCCACGACAGGAAGCAAGUAUGUGUCAGCAGCUUUUAACAACAACAGAAAAGCACAGUUUUGUUGAAGGCUGACUAGGGAGCUUGUCUAAAAGCCAUAGAAAAUAGUGGGUUUCUUUCAUCUGGGCUCAGUGUCUGGGAGGUGGGAGGCCAUCCCACUGCAAGUGUAGGAUUGUUAUGGAGGAAGGUGUGAAACAAGGCAACUGAUGUAUCUUUAGAGAUUUUUUUAUUGUCAUGUUCCAGCAAUUCAACAUUUUUCCAUUUAAAGUACAUAUUUUGUCAUUACCCAUUCUGCAAUGAUAAUUUUGACUUGGUUAGGUGUCCCUAAAAUGUUAUUAGAGUAUGUUAUUUUUAAAGCAGUGACAGUUUUGUUUCAUAGUUCAGUUUCAAAUUAAGACAAACAAUAUCAUUGAAAACUCAUGUUCAUUUAUUGCAAAGAUGUUUAUGUUGAUUUUGUAUUUGGCAUUUAAGAUUCAUCCUAGAGUCAGUGGUUCCUGUGCUGCUGUAAAGUACAGAACACUGGAUGCCCAAGGCCUCUGUUGUGAGAGAAAUUGUAAGUAUGUAAUAGCUCCAUACCUAUUGUCAUAAAGCUUACAUUUGCUAUACAGGGGCUUGUACCUCCACUAGAACAAUGUAACCAUCCAAAACUAGAAAUAGAAAAAAGAUUGAUCCAGACCAAACCAGUUUCUUUGAAACUCUUUGGUGGUUGCUGCAAUGAAGCAAUUUCCAGAUUUCAUCCAUUCUUCUAAAUAUGUUUGUGUUGUUUCCUAUCAGAGUUGUUUCCUUUAGUUAUAUUACCAGCUUUGUAUUACUGUUUAUCUUCAGAAUAUUAGAUGCCUUAGAAACCUCGAAGUUGGAAUAAUCCUGGAAUUUUUCAUGUGCAGUCCUACCAUGAGGACUCCGAGAUAGGCAGCUCCUGUUCAGUUGUUCAUGGGCAUUGCAGUGGAGGUUGGUAACUAUCACAUGGCUUCACAGUCCGUACUCUAGCGUUUCUCCAUUUCAGGGAGUUUGGAGAUAGCUCUGUAGCACCAAGUGUAUGUAUUGGAGAUCAUUUAUCACACAUAUCUAUAUGUGAAACAUUCAAACACUGUGUGCAUUUUUAAUUGACAGCACCAAGAUGUAAUCAUUAGGGGUAAAAAUAUCAUGUACACAGAGCAAGACAGAAACAGGCAGGAAGGUUUCUAUGUAAAGAACAAUAAAUGUAGGAAGGAGUUAUGUCAAUGAAUCCACCUAGCAGCCAUUCAUGCAUAUCCCUGUUGUGGAGUCUAAGGCACUGGAUGUGCUUUAAUACCUUCUUAAUUGCUUCUAAAUUAGCGAGUGGCAGCGUGCAGCCCUCCGCACGCACAGUGCAGGAGGCAUGGAGGCCCUUAUGCAUGAGGAUCAACCUGCAGUGGCACUGCGUUGCAGAUAAGUUACCCAGGCACUUCUAAAAAAGGUGAAUCACUCUCCUAGAAUUGGAUAAUAGCCCAGGUGAACACACUGCUGCUGGAAUGGAGUGACCUAGCUGAUCACUUUUGUCAUCUGCACACAUCAUGCAUUUUGGGCCUAGGCCACGCAGUCAGGGGGCUGAUCUUCAGAAAUUUUGGAGUAUCUGAUGGCUCCUAGCAUGAUUUGGA